UGAGGAAUAUUGCGCAAUGGAGGCAACUCUGACGCAGCCAUGCCGCGUGCAGGAAGAAGGCGCUACGCGUUGUAAACUGCUUUUAACCGGGAAGAAACCCCAGGACGUGUCCUGGGUUGACGGUACCGGAGGAAUAAGCACCGGCUAACUUCGUGCCAGCAGCCGCGGUAAUACGAAGGGUGCAAGCGUUAUCCGGAUUCAUUGGGUUUAAAGGGUGCGUAGGCGGGGCGGUAGGUCAGUGGUGAAAUC
rnacentral:rRNA from 1 species